rnacentral:lncRNA from 8 species
AUAAUCACAAAUAUUGCAAACUGCACAGUUUGGCAUUGAAGUACUGUAUUGACUUUGAAGGUCCUUAGUUUAUUAUUGUUGUUGUUAUUAUCAUGUAGUUUGGAUACUCCACCUCUUGUGAACAUUGGAGAUAGUAACCAUUAGUGAACUAUAAUGUUAUCAAACACACACACAGGCACACACACAGCUCCUGCCCCAUACAGCCAGCUUGCUCCCUCUCACACAGGGUACUUGGCCAGGCUGUGAGGACUCAUGGCUAGGGGUUAAAGGUCAGACAUGUGAGCCUCGGCACUGCAGGUGUGGGGGUCAAAAACAUAUGACAGAGCAGUACAGGGGCAAGAGUAUACGAGGAGGAAAGAUGUAUUUCAUAUGUCAAAUGGGUGCUGUGAUGGUAGAUCAGAAACAAGACCUGUAGAGUCUACUGUAGACUAUAGAGUCAUCCAGCCCUGUAGUCUACUGUAGACUGUAGUGUAAUCCAGCCCUGUAGUCUGCUGUAGACUAUAGAGUCAUCCAGCCCUGUAGUCUACUGUAGACUGUAGUGUAAUCCAGCCCUGUAGUCUACUGUAGACUGUAGUGUAAUCCAGCCCUGUAGUCUACUGUAGACUGUAGUGUCAUCCAGCCCUGUAGUCUACUGUAGACUGUAGUGUAAUCCAGCCCUGUAGUCUACUGUAGACUGUAGUGUCAUCCAGCCCUGUAGUCUGCUGUAGACUGUAGUGUAAUCCAGCCCUGCAGUCUACUGUAAACUGUAGUGUCAUCCAGCCCUGCAGUCUACUGUAGACUGUAGUGUAAUCCAGCCCUGUAGUCUACUAUAGACUGUAGAGUCAUCCAGCCCUGUAGUCUACUGUAGACUGUAGUGUAAUCCAGCCCUGUAGUCUACUGUAGACUGUAGUGUAAUCCAGCCCUGUAGUCUGCUGUAGACUGUAGUGUAAUCCAGCCCUGUAGUCUACUGUAGACUGUAGUGUAAUCCAGCCCUGUAGUCUAAUGUAGACUGUAGUGUAAUCCAGCCCUGUAGUCUGCUGUAGACUGUAGUGUCAUCCAGCCCUGCAGUCUACUGUAGACUGUAGUGUAAUCCAGCCCUGUAGUCUACUGUAGACUGUAGAGUCAUCCAGCCCUGUAGUGUACUGUAGACUGUAGUGUAAUCCAGCCCUGUAGUCUACUGUAGACUGUAGUGUCAUCCAGCCCUGUAGUCUACUGUAGACUGUAGUGUAAUCCAGCCCUGCAGUCUACUGUAGACGGUAGUGUAAUCCAGCCCUGUAGUCUACUGUAGACUGUAGUGUAAUCCAGCCCUGUAGUCUGCUGUAGACUGUAGUGUAAUCCAGCCCUGUAGUCUACUGUAGACUGUAGUGUAAUCCAGCCCUGUAGUCUACUGUAGACUGUAGUGUAAUCCAGCCCUUUAGUCUGCUGUAGACUGUAGUGUAAUCCAGCCCUGUAGUCUACCGUAGACGGUAGUGUCAUCCAGCCCUGUAGUCUACCGUAAACUGUAGUGUCAUCCAGCCCUGUAGUCUACCGUAGACUGUAGUGUCAUCCAGCCCUGUAGUCUACUGUAGAGUCAUCCAGCCCUGUAGUCUACUGUAGACUGUAGUGUAAUCCAGCCCUGUAGUCUUCUGUAGACUGUAGAGUCAUCCAGCCCUGUAGUCUACUGUAGACUGUAGUGUAAUCCAGCCCUGCAGUCUACUGUAGACGGUAGUGACAUCCAGCCCUGCAGUCUACUGUAGACUGUAUCCAGCCCUGUAGUGUACUGUAGACUGUAGUGUCAUCCAGCCUUGUAGAGUCUACUGUAGACUGUAGUGUCAUCCAGCUCCCACUGCCAAGAAGUAAAAUAACAGAGGAGAAUGGUAAUGUGAGCAUCCCUCCAGCCACCUUACAGUAGCUCAGACAGACAGCUCAGUCUGGACAA